GAACUCCCGGGGAGUGAGGGACGAGAUAUGGAGGUCACAGGUCACCAGCGAACCUACCGUGGUGUGGAAAGGAGGUGUUGCAAUGCUUACAGCAGCAUCUGUAUGGCCGUUUAUGAUUGCCUUAGACGCCUGUGCUUGUGUUCCCUGGGAGCCCUGUGUAUUUUAUGCCUUUAAAACCAUGAUUCUGAGAAGGGCCCAUCUCCUUCACUGGACUAACUGCCUGAGGGGUCCGUGCCACAAGCAAGAUGCACGUAAGAGAUCUUGCCACCAGGAUUCCCCCUGGGCCUAAUAUGACCGAUCUAAUUCAUCGGAGCUCUGAGUUGGAGGAAAUCUUGUGUGUGACAAAAGGCCCUCAUCUCACAUGAAGUCUUCCCCAAUGAGGCAGAAGUGAUUAAAAUCCCGCCCACUAAAGUGAAACAGUAUGUGUCUUCUAUUCUCUCCAGUUGCAUAUAACGUAAAAUCGCUGUCUUG